GACAGAGGUGCCGAGCGUUAGGCGGAAUCACUGGGCUUAAAGCGUGUGUAGGCGGAUCGUUAAGUACCUUGUGAAAUCCCACGGCUCAACCGUGGAACUGCUGGGUAUACUGGCGGUCUUGAGCCACCUAGGGGCGAGCGGAACAAGCGGUGGAGCGGUGAAAUGCGUAGAUAUCGCUUGGAACGCCAACGGUGAAAACAGCUCGCUGGGGGUGUGCUGACGCUGAGACACGAAAGCCAGGGGAGCGAACGGG
rnacentral:rRNA from 2 species